AGAGCGAGGACAGCCAUGGUGGAAGACGGACGUGCUGCUUAUCUCUACCACGCAUCAGGAUGCCACCACCCGAGACAUGGACCAAAGGGCGUGGAGGACUCCGAGUGUCGCCUUCUGGGAGUAUGUGGACAGACGUGUGGAGAAAGAUUGGCGAGAGAUGAGUAAGCAGCAGCAGCAGCAACACAAUCAGGAACCUCCGAGAACCCACAGUGCAGUGCUUCCUUGGACGACUAUACUCGUUUUGCAGUGAGGUGACAGCUCCCCCGAAAGUAAACUCCACACAUACUUUGUACUGCCAAUCAGAAAAAGACUAUUCUCACCAAGUGGGUGGAGGAAAUCAGUCCACACAACCACCAGCAGUAUUGUGGAAGGAAGAGGGUGGAAUUGUCCGAAUUCUAGAGAUACCUCGAAGACUCUCCGGAGACAAACAGAACAACUUUCGCUGU